AACGUAGGACGCAAGCGUUAUCCGGAGUUACUGGGCGUAAAGGGCGCGUAGGCGGCUUGCCAAGUCACUUGUGAAAUCUCUGGGCUUAACCCAGAACGGCCAAGUGAAACUGGCAUGCUAGAGUGCAGAAGGGGCAAUCGGAAUUCUUGGUGUAGCGGUGAAAUGCGUAGAUAUCAAGAGGAACACCUGAGGUGAAGACGGGUUGCUGGGCUGACACUGACGCUGAGGCGCGAAAGCCAGGGGAGCAAACGGG
rnacentral:rRNA from 1 species